UUGAAAGCAAUGUCGCAAGUGAGGUAAUCUUCACACAACCCAAGUAAUACAAUAGGGGAAAAAGAUACAUAGUUGGCUUACAAUCGCCACUUCACACAAUUACAUGAGUAAAACAUUACAUCAUCCAAAUACACUCAUGGUCCGACUAUGGAACCAAAAUAAAAGAAGAACCCCAAAAGCGACAAAGGUCCCUGAUCAACCCCAACUGGGCUCCACUGCUGAUCAACUAGAACGAAAACAACACAAAGGACAAGAUCUUCAUCGAGCUCCUCCUUGAGCUUGGUUGCGUCAUCUGCACGGACUCUUCGGCACCUGCAAGCUGGUUUUGGAAGUAUCUGUGAGCCACGGGGACUCAGCAAUCUCGCACCCUCGCGAUCAAGACUAUUUAAGCUUAUGGGUAAGGUAAAGGUAUGAGGUGGAGCUGCAGCAAGCGACUAGCAUAUAUGGUGGCUAACAUACGCAAAUGAGAGCGAGAAGAGAAGGCAAAGCACGGUCGAUAAAAGUAUGAUCAAGAAAUGAUCCUAUAGCAACCUACGUCAAGCAUAACUCCAACACCGUGUUCACUUCCCGGACUCCGGCGGAAAGAGACCAUCACGGUUACACACGCGAUUGAUGCAUUUUUAAUUAAGGUCAACUUCAGGUUUUUUACAACCGGACAUUAACAAAUUCCCAUCUGCCCAUAACCGCGGGCACGGCUUUCGAAAGUUCAAAUCCCUGCAGGGGUGUCCCAACUUAGCCCAUGACAAGCUCUCACGGUCAACGAAGGAAUAUACCUCCUCCCGAGACGUUCCGAUCAGACUCGGUACCUUGGUUCUUCAAGACACUUCGGCAGGUUAAAACAAAUCUAGCAACACCGCCCGAAUGUGCCAACAAAUCCCGAUAGGAGCUGCACAUAUCUCUUUCUCAGGGCACACUCAGAUUGUCCUAGGUACGGGUAGGCCAGCCCAGAGUUGCCCCUGGUGGCCAUCGGCAGCUGACAGGUUGGACCAACACUCGGAGGAGCACUGGCCCGGGGGGGUAAAAUAAUGAUGACCCUCAGGAGCGCAACUCCCAAGGGAAAAGAAAAGGCUAGGUGGCAAAUGGUAAAACCAAUGUUGGGCAUUGCUGGAGGAGUUUUACUCAAGGCGAACUGUCAAGGGGUUCCCAUAAUAGCCCAACCGCGUAAGGAACGCAAAAUCCGGGAACAUAACACCGAUAUGACGGAAACUAGGGCGGCAAGAGUGGAACAAAACACCAGGCAUAAGGCCGAGCCUUCCAUCCUUUACCAAGUAUAUAGAUGCAUUAAUUAAAAUAAGAUAUAUUGUGAUAUCCCAACAAGUAAACAUGUUCCAACAAGGAACAACAUCUCCAUGUUCCAACAAGGAACAAACUUCAAUCUUCACCUGCAACUAACAACACUAUAAGAGGGGCUGAGCAAAGCGGUAACAUAGCCAAUCAACGGUAUGCUAGGACAAGGUGGUUUAGAGGCUUGGUUCAACAAUAUGGGAGGCAUGAUAAGCAAGUAGUAGGUAUCGCAGCAUAGGCAUAGCAAAAGAGCGAGCAACUAGCAAGCAAAGAUAGAAGUGAUUUCGAUGGUGUGCUCAUCUUGUCUGAGAUCCCGCAAGGAAGAAGAACGAGUCCAUGAAGAAGACAAACGGACGUAGACGAACGGGCCCUCACAAACGCGACGUUACCGGACCCACCCCGAAGAAGCAAACACCGGAAAGAAGCACACAACAUAGUAAACAACCAACACAUGAACAUGGUAUGAUAUGCGGGAUGCGGUAUGCGAUGCACAUGCAUGAUUUGCAAGGGAAUGAUAGGAUCUGGCCUCCACUUGGAAAUCCAAGUGUGCCACUGGAAAGGUGAGAUGAAAUCGCUUGAAAACGAUAUAAAGAUCACCGGAAUCGGAGUUACGGUUUGGAAAUGGCAAGCGAUUCGAAUAUGACCACGUUCUGCGAUUUACAGCAAGUAGCCAACUAAAUGCAACAAGUUAAACAUGCUACAGCACUCAAACAUGACAACAAAAUACAUGGAAGGGAUCAACUCAUGAAUCUUAACAAAAGAUGAACACUGAGCUACGGCUAAUUCAUCCAUUAACAGGUUCAAACAAUCAUGGCAAAAAUGCAUUUGGUAAACAGAUCUCAAACUUAGUGAAAUUAACACUUGUCUGGAAUUUCAGAUCAGAUAGCACUCUUCGGAGCAUGAAAACUAUAUGCUACAGGACCUGAACAUGGCAAAGUAAAGCAUGGCAUGGAGCUACUCAAAGAGCUUAACAAAAGUCCCUUAGUGACCUUGAGCCAAAAGGGAUCAGAAAAUACAUUUGCAAGUAUGAGAACAUGACCAAAACAUAAUCAGAUCACAGACUUGGAGAAAAAACUGGAGCAUGCAAAACAGAUAUCAAGUAGCCAUGUUUAUGAGCUCGAUGCACUCACUACAGAGCAAGUCAUAACAAACUAAGCAUACACCCAUCAAGAAUACACAAAAUACAAGCUAGACAUGGCAAGAACAAUAGCAUAGCAUGCACGGAUCAACUACAACAUCCUCGGUAAAAUCGCUAACAAGUAGAUAAUCUGCCCAGAUUCACGAAGUAGCAAAAGUAGAGCUCGAUUGACUCAAGCUAGGGUGUUCCAUAAUUGCAAACAAAGACAUGGAUGGAUAGAGCACUACAAUAUUAACAAAACAUCCUUACUGAUCAUCCUCAAAAGAGGUACGGAUCACUAGGAAACAACAUGAACAUAUGGCAUCAUGAAAUGAACAGAUCAAGGACUUAGUGGAAAUGCUAAGUCCCUGAAAUCAGCAUUAACGAAUGCACCACUUUGCAAGCUUGUGCUAGACACCACACACAUCACAAAAAUACAUGGGUUGCACCUCCGGAAAGAUGGCAAAACCCUUAACAAAACAUAUGUAGAGCUCAUAGGCAUAUCAUGCACACAAUAAUCAUGGCAAAAAUGACAAAUAUCUAAAUGGAGCAGCACAUCUGACAAUUAUCUCAAGUAGCUCUCUUCUAACAGCAUUUUGGGCAUCAAGAUGAACUCAAAUGAAAAUGAUGCAAUGGAAUGAAAUGAUGUACUCUCUGAGACAAACAUUUUGAUAUGCUAUAUGCAUGAAUCGGAGCUACGGAUGCAAAGUUACGGUGCGAUGAACAUGGGCAUGUGGAUCUGGGAAUUUCGAGGACUUAGUGAAAAAAACAGGACUGAAAGGUGAGCGUCAAAUACUAUAAAACGCACAGAGCGGGGUUUAACGGGGCAGCUCACCAUGGGCUUCGGCCCAAAAAGAGAGGAGGCGAGGCAGGCCGACGGGAGGCUGGACCGCGGGGUGGAGCGGGCCGAACGCAGGGCCCACGAGGAGGGGCUCGUCAUUCUCCUCCCGUAGCGGAGCAGAGACGAGAUCGGCGGCGCAGGAUGGCGACGGGGGCCAGCGGCGGCGCACAGGGAGACCGGCGACGGGCGGAUCCACGCCGGGCACACAGAGGGGAACCCAUUCCCGGCGGUGGGAGGCGGAUCCCGCACGGAGGAGCUCGGGGUCGUCCGGCAGAAGGCGACUCCGGCGAGAAAGAUACGACCGCGGGGAAGAUCCGAGGCAAGAGGCGGAGUCCGGCGGGGUAGGAGGCGACGGCGGGAUGCUCGGCGGCGCGCAGAGCGAGGAUG
rnacentral:lncRNA from 1 species